GAAGUGGACCGGAUGGUCGCUGGCUCGGAUCGCCCGACGGGCGGUUCCGAGCGAGAGGAAAGUCCGGGCUCCGCAGGACAGGGUGGUCGGCAACUCCGACCGGCCGUGAGGUUAGGGAAAGUGCCGCAGAAAACAAACCGCCGAUGGGUCGCUACGGCGACCACAGGUAAGGGUGAAAAGGUGCGGUAAGAGCGCACCAGCAGCCGGGGUGACUCGGCUGGCUUGGUAAACCCCACCCGGAGCAAGACCAAACAGGGAGCAGGCGACGUUGCCGUCGCCGCGAGUCGGUCCGGCUCGCCAUCGACUCCCGGGUAGGUUGCUGGAGGCGUCGAGCAAUCGGCGUCCUAGAUAAAUGACCAUCGCCUCGCCUGGCGAGGCCACAAGACCCGGCUUACAGGUCCGCUUCGAGC
rnacentral:RNase_P_RNA from 1 species